rnacentral:rRNA from 1 species
ACGGGUGAGUAACACGUGAGAAUCUACCCUUUAGUGAGGAAUACCUUCGGGAAACUGAAGAUAAUACUGCAUACGCCCUGCGGGGGAAAGGUGGCUUUUAUGCUGCCGCUAAAGGAUGAGCUUGCGGACUAUUAGCUAGUUGGUAGGGUAAUGGCCUACCAAGGCGAUGAUGGUUAGCCGGCCUGAGAGGGUGAACGGCCACAUUGGAACUGAGAAACGGUCCAGACUCCUACGGGAGGCAGCAGUGGGGAAUAUUGCACAAUGGGCGAAAGCCUGACGCAGCAAUGCCGCGUGGAGGAUGAAGGUUUUCGGACUGUAAACUCCUGUUAAGUGUGAAGAAAAGCCCACUGGUAAUAUAAGUGGGAAAUGACGGUAGCACUAGAGAAAGCACUGGCUAAUUUCGUGCCAGCAGCCGCGGUAAUACGAGGAGUGCAAGCGUUAUUCGGAAUUAUUGGGCGUAAAGGGUGUGUAGACGGCGUAUUAAGUCUAUUGUUUAAUUCUUCGGCUUAACCGAAGGUCAGCGAUGGAAACUGGUAUGCUAGAGGGUGAGAGAGAGGAGUGGAAUUUCCGGA